AUCCGGCUGACGAGUCCCAAAUGAGACGAAACGCGCGUCCUGGAU
rfam:Schistosoma haematobium scaffold4586_1, whole genome shotgun sequence.